rnacentral:lncRNA from 1 species
GUCCCUAGAGGGGUUUCGGGGACGAUUAUGUGCGGAGGAUUAUUCGAAUGAGGAAAAUACGACGACGGUAAAAAUGGUAAAUUUUAGCUAGUAAAAGGUAAUUUUUAUUCGGGUAUUAUUUUUCGGGGUGUUUAAUUUUAGAAUUUGGAUAGUUUAUAAGUGAUGGACCGGUUUGGGGUGUGAGGCCCAAACCCAUUCUUUUUCCUCCCGAUUUUCUCUCCUCACCCGCUCCCGCACCCGAGCCCUCCCGCUGUCCCGUUUUCCGACCGCCAGACCGCCGCCGUCCGGCCGCCCCAGACCGCCGCACCGGUCCCAAUCGAUCGGUCUUCAACCCAGCAACCUUCUUGGACCGGUGACAGCUCCCCUAGCGCCGCCGUGAGGGAGAUAUCGGGCCCGAGAGGUCCGACUAUGUUAGGGAUCACGUCGCCGGAACUUCCUCCUCCGGUCACCAAUCCGGGCAAGCUUGGUACGGUUUUGUAGCCCUCCAACCCAGCAGCCUUGCCCUAAAUUUGAGGUGGAAGUUUUAUGGCGUUUUUGAUGUUUUUAGUCGAUUACCCUAGAUAGGCUUGGAAUUGGUGUUUGUGCUAGUUAGGAAAGUUGUAGAGCUUGAUGAGAGGAUUAUUCUGUCAAAAUUUCAUAGGUUUUGGAGGUCGCCGGAAUUGGCCUCCGGCCGCCGCCGGUUAGGAGAUUUUUAGGGUUUUAAGUGUGGAAUAUUAAGAGGAGUAUAUUGAUGUGAUUUAUGGAAUUUUUGGAUGAGAUUUGGAUAGGUUUGUGAAUUUCCGAAGUUUGGUAUUUUUGGCGGUUAAUUAAUGUAGAAUCCGGCCGUAGGAUUUAAGUCGAAUUUUUGGAGAGGUUGUAUUUGCGACUGUUGAAUAUGAUAUUUAAGUUCGGAUCGUUCCGAUUUAAGAAUAUCGAAGUUAGGCAAUGAUGAGCGUAUUUAUGGCUCUCGGGUAAUUUUGCCUAUUUUGAUUAAAUAUCGGAUUAUUGGUUGGGAAAUUAAUAUU